UUGUGCGUACAAAAACCCUAAAGGGCGUCAAAGGUUGGCACCCCCUCUAUUUUCCUAAUGGGGUGUGGGGCCAUUUCAAUUGGGUCUGAUUUUUUUGAGAAAAAAUUAAAUUAAAAGAUAAGAGACCUUAUGAGAUAAGGACUAACCUUUUUAGCUUGAUUGGAGAUUCAUUUGGAAUCAAAAAAAGACUCUAUUUAAGAGAUGAUCUCCUAGGGUUUAAAAAAAAUGAAUUGUGAAUUCAGAUCUAAACCUCCUCCCUAUCUCUAUGCCAUCCUCUCCCUCUCCUCUCUCUCCAAUGUCCAAGUGUUGGGCAUCCCACCUUCCCACGUGCUCAACGUAUUGGGUAAUCUCUUCUACAUCAAUGAAUAGGGAGAAAGGCUGCAGUUCAAGUAUUGAGAUCAUGGAUAAAGAUCAAUGAUUGAUCAAAGAUCCAAAAGAUUGAGAUUUGUCUUGAAAAAAAUAAAUCUAGAAUGAGAAGAAAAGUUCAAGAUUGAUCCUGAUGAAUAUC
rnacentral:lncRNA from 1 species